rnacentral:rRNA from 1 species
UACGUAGGUGACAAGCGUUGUCCGGAUUUACUGGGCGUAAAGAGCGCGCAGGCGGUCGUUCAAGUCGAGUGUGAAAGCCCCCGGCUCAACUGGGGAGGGUCAUUCGAUACUGAUCGACUCGAAGGCAGGAGAGGGUAGUGGAAUUCCCGGUGUAGUGGUGAAAUGCGUAGAUAUCGGGAGGAACACCAGUGGCGAAGGCGGCGACCUGGGCCAAUAUUGACGCUGAGGUGCGAAAGCGUGGGGAGCAAACAGG